GACCUAAUUUUCUGUAAAAUUAAGAUUAGUGUAACUUUUUUACAAUACUAUCUGAGAUCAAAAUAUUAUAUCUGAAUAUAUUCACAUAAAACAGAAACUGGAUUAAAUGUACUAGUUAAAUAAACAAAUAAAGGUGAUGGCUCCAGUCUUUCAAAUUAAAGUGUCUACUUUACAAGUCUAAUAGUAUGUGACAUUGAAGAUGAAUAAAAAAACAGUGAAAUACACACUAGUCAGCAAUUUAUUUUAGCUUAGCAGCUAUCUCCAUCUUCUAUUAUAAAUAGAAACAUGUCUAAUGCCUUCAAAUUUGAAAAAAAUAGUUGUAAAAGUUGAGGUGGAUGAAAUUAAUGUGAUUUCCCUUUUAUAUUCAUUUAAAUUAUAUUCUACAUUUACUUGUUUAUGGUGCAUGUGUCUAUGCACUCAUGUAUAUGUGUGCAUGUGCUCACACACCAUGGCACGCAUGUGAAAAUCAUAGGUCAAAACCUAUAAGCCAUUCACUUUCCAAAACACAAGUUGGAAAGAUCGCUAAAAUGUAUACAGAAAUGAUGAUCUAUUAAAAAGGCUCAUCUUUGGAUGGGAGGUGUUGAGCUUAAAGAAUCCAACUGUUCAGUUUGGGACAACUUCAUGAGAGAGAUUAGUCACAGUCAAUUGGAUUCAUACCCUUUUUACCUACUCAUUUUUAAAAUAUGCUCAUUUUUUAGCUCCCUCAUCACUCUAAAAAUAUCCAUGAAUUAUUGAAAUUCAAAUUGCUAAAAUUCAAUAAUGAUUAAAAUUGUUUUGGAUUCUUUAAAAGUGCUAAUUAUAAAAAACAGUCUUCCAACAGAAACAAGCAUAUAUAUGUGUUGGGGGGGGAGGCUAUGGAACCAGGUGCUAGUAAAGCUGGCCCCGAGAGAAUGUGUAGAGGGUAGAACCCACGUUGUUUACAAACAAUAUGAUUGGAGCUUCAGGUCAAGAAAGAUGAUGUCAGUACAUGAUUCCCUAAUGGACAAUGCUGAAAAUACUGUAGACUAGGCACAUGAUUGGGUAACCUUCAAGAUGAGGAUGAUUGGCCCAAAGGGACAUUUACCCACCCCACUCCCCAGCCUUGUUUUCUUUAUGCUUUAAAAGAGCUUACUGUUUUUAAAUAAACCUUGCCUGACUUGGCUCCCUGCUGCAUCUGAUCCUCUGGGGUGAGGAGAGGGCAGAGGCUGGGGAAAGGGUGAGGGGUGGGUGCACUUACCUUUCCUUGGUCCCUUCUCAGGAGACCUAAGUUCCCAGUGGGGCAGGACCCCAUACACAUAUCUAUGGCCAUAUUACCAUGAAGGCAUUGAUGUUGUCUGAUCUUACAGGCUAAGGUUGGUGCUGGCAUGAGAGAACUGAACACACACCAGCCUUUCUUCUUCAUAAAUGCUGCUAACCAAGCUUGGAUAAGAAGUACUUCAGAAUACUAAGCAGUAGGUAUCAUCAGAGGGAAAGGGAAGGACACCAGAAUUGGAAGUUCUACUGAAUGAUGAGUUUUCAAUUUUGAAAUGUUAUCUCUCUUGCAUCUUACCCUGCAUGUGAGGCAGUCCUGGACUCAGAAAUGGUUAUUGUGGUAUUGUGGCUGUAUCCCAAAGAAGAGAAAAGAAAACUUGUAAUGCUCAGAA